rnacentral:rRNA from 1 species
UACGUAGGGUGCGAGCGUUGUCCGGAAUUAUUGGGCGUAAAGGGCGCGUAGGCGGCUCAUGAAGGCUGUGGUGAAAGUCCGGGGCUCAACCUCGGAUCGGCCGUGGCGACUCGUGGGCUGGAGCACUGUAGAGGCGGGUGGAAUUCCGGGUGUAGCGGUGGAAUGCGCAGAUAUCAGGAGGAACACCGGUGGCGAAGGCGGGUCUCUGGGCAGUAACUGACGCUGAGGAGCGAAAGCGUGGGGAGCGAACAGG